UACUCAUUCCGUUGGCAAACAAUCUUAUUUGCCUGCUCAAAUCAAGGACAAAUACUGUAAUUUUAAGAAUAUUUUACUCUUAAUUCCCUUUUGCAGUGCAUUGUUAGGGUGUUUUUUCAUCUUUUUGCCCAUAUCAAUUGUGUUAAGGCUUGUAGGGCUCAGUAGUCAUGUUUAUUUACAUGAUCAAAGUCAAGAAAUGUAAAACAAAAGCACAAGGCAGUUGAGAAUGAGCGUGAAAGUUGACAAAGAGAGGCCGUGUUUAUAUGGCGGACAAUCUAGUGAAGAGGAGAAAGUCUGCAGAAAUGUAGUCUUAUUGUAACAGCUUGGAGACCUAACAAACCAGUACCCUACACGGGGGUUUAAAAGUACACAUUGAUCCAGAAAACAAUGUCAGUGUCGCUAAAACCAUGAUGAAUUUGAAGCCUCAAGUUGGAGCUGUCACAGAAUUGUCAUAAUCCAUAUAUGGAAGUGCUUCCUGUUAUUCAUGGGCCCCGACUCAAAAUGUUUCAGAAAGGAGUUUUAAAAUUGCUUAAUCCUCUUUUACAAACUGUGGAAAAUGUGAUUGAUUUGUUUCACACUUCUACAAGUUUUCUGGCCUUUUAAAUUAGAUGAUUUCUGCUCCUUUUGGGGGCUGCAAUAGUAUUUAAUUCAGCCGAGCCAGAAAAUAUUGCUUCAGUUAAGUUUUAAUUUCAAAUUUUCUUGGCUGCUUUUUUUGUCACUUUAUGUAUAAAUAUAAAUUCAAAUAUAGAACUAAGAAUUAUGCCCCAUAUAACCUGUAUUUAGCUUGAUACACAUAAAAUAUCACUGUAGUUAUAGUCCUUUAAUGCAACUGUGGACAGUGAGUCAGACUGUGAUCCUUCUGCCAUGUAAUUCAAAAUUAGAUGUGACUUCUAACCUGUUUGGUUGCAAAAAAAAAAAAGGGUUUAUAAAAGUACAUUAAACUUUCAAACAUAUCUACAAAAAACAAGCCAUAACACUUACAAUGUGAGACAAAUCCAAAUCCAUCUGACCUGAAUAAGACCACACUGAUAUUAGUUACAAGACCACCAUAUCAUCUGCAAAACAUGAGCCAAAAACAAAGCUUGAUAUAUUGAAUAUAAUGUUUGUUGUGCUAACACAACAAGCAGCAUUUUUUUUUCAUUUACAGGACUAUAAUAUUGAAAGUGGUUGUACUUAACAUUUUACUAUAGCUCUAAUCUAACCUCCAUUUUUCAUAAGUAUGUACAUAUUCUAAGGACAGGAUUACAGUUUUCUUUACUAAUAUAUAGAUAACUCCUGUUACAUUUUGGGCCUAUUGUCUCUGUAGAAACGCUUGCUACCUUCAAGCUCUUACUCAUUGUUGUUCUAUUUUUGUAGCUGUUUUAUUAAAGUUACCCUUUUCAAAUAAA